rnacentral:SRP_RNA from 1 species
AGCCGGGCCCCGUGGAACAGAGAAUUGUGAACCCCGUCAGGUCCGGAAGGAAGCAGCGGCAGCAACUUCGAUGUUUGCUACGGGAUCACCCGGCUAUC